CUCUUCAAUUUGCUGAGGGGCAAUGAAGUGAAUGUGCGUGUCGAUACCGCCAGCCGUGACGAUGUUGCCUUCGCAGCUGAUGACCUCGGUGCCGGGGCCAAUGAUGAUGUCAAUGCCGGGUUGCGUAUCGGGGUUGCCUGCUUUGCCAAUGGCCACAAUGCGGCCGCCUUUGAGACCAAUGUCGGCCUUCACAAUGCCCCAGUGAUCGAUGAUCAAGGCAUUGGUCAUGACGGUGUCGACAGCGCCGCCCGCUUGCGGGCCUGUGCCCGUGCCAUCGCGUG
rnacentral:sRNA from 1 species